UGUUCGCCAAACAACUACGAGUCCUACUUAAAACUUAAAAGACUUGACGGUACUUCAUCACGGCCUAGAGGAGCCUGUCUAAUAACCGACAAUCCACGAUUAACCCCACCCCUUCUUGCCUUCAGUCUAUAUACCGCCGUCGCCAGCUUACCUUGUAAAAGAAAUAAAGUGAGCUAAACAGUACUUACACUAAAACGACAGGUCGAGGUGUAACCCAUGAAGGGGGCCAGGAUGGGCUACAUUCUCCAACCAAGAAUACGGAUAACACUAUGAAAUUAAUGUUUAAAGGCGGAUUUAGCAGUAAGAUAAGAAUAAAACACCUAACUGAACAUAACGCAAUGAAGUGCGUACACACCGCCCGUCACCCCUGUCACCAC
rnacentral:rRNA from 1 species